rnacentral:rRNA from 1 species
AUUGAACGCUGGCGGCAUGCCUUACACAUGCAAGUCGAACGGUAACAGGUCUUCGGAUGCUGACGAGUGGCGAACGGGUGAGUAAUACAUCGGAACGUGCCUAGUAGUGGGGGAUAACUACUCGAAAGAGUGGCUAAUACCGCAUGAGAUCUACGGAUGAAAGCAGGGGAUCGCAAGACCUUGUGCUACUAGAGCGGCCGAUGGCAGAUUAGGCAGUUGGUGGGAUAAAAGCUUACCAAGCCGACGAUCUGUAGCUGGUCUGAGAGGACGAUCAGCCACACUGGGACUGAGACACGGCCCAGACUCCUACGGGAGGCAGCAGUGGGGAAUUUUGGACAAUGGGCGCAAGCCUGAUCCAGCAAUGCCGCGUGCAGGAUGAAGGCCUUCGGGUUGUAAACUGCUUUUGCACGGAACGAAAAGCCCUGGGUUAAUACCCUGGGGUCAUGACGGUACCGUAAGAAUAAGCACCGGCUAACUACGUGCCAGCCGCCGCGGUAAUAC